UCUUGGCUUAGUUAGGAGGCGCAUAUGAAAUGAGCAUCUGAUGCUCAUCCAGGCCUUUUGAGGGGGCAACUCAUCUGUGUUAACUAGAUGUGCUCCCCAAGCAGCCCGAGACAUUU
rfam:Triticum aestivum genome assembly, contig: Triticum_aestivum_CS42_TGACv1_scaffold_361833_4DS